AUCCAGUUGAUGAGUCCCGAAUAGGACGAAAUGCGCAUCCUGGAU
rnacentral:hammerhead_ribozyme from 1 species